rnacentral:rRNA from 1 species
UACGUAGGGACCAAGCGUUGUUCGGAUUUACUGGGCGUAAAGGGCGCGUAGGCGGCGCGGUAAGUCACUUGUGAAAUCUCUGAGCUUAACUCAGAACGGCCAAGUGAUACUGCAGUGCUAGAGUGUGGAAGGGGCAAUCGGAAUUCUUGGUGUAGCGGUGAAAUGCGUAGGUAUCAAGAGGAACACCUGAGGUGAAGACGGGUUGCUGGGCCAACACUGACGCUGAUGCGCGAAAGCCAGGGGAGCAAACGGG